rnacentral:rRNA from 1 species
UACGGGGGAUGCAAGCGUUAUCCGGAAUCAUUGGGCGUAAAGCGCCUGUAGGUUGUUUAAUAAGUCUGUUGUUAAAGACUGGGGCUCAACCCCAGAAAAGCAAUGGAAACUACUAGACUCGAGUAUGGCAGGGGUAGAGGGAAUUUCUAGUGUAGCGGUGAAAUGCGUAGAUAUUAGAAAGAACACCGGUGGCGAAAGCGCUCUACUGGACCAUUACUGACACUCAGAGGCGAAAGCUAGGGUAGCAAAAGGGAUUAGAUACCCCUGUAGUCCUAGCCGUAAACGAUGGAUACUAGAUGUUGUAUUUAUUUUACAGUAUCCUAGCUAACGCGUUAAGUAUCCCGCCUGGGGAGUACGCUCGCAAGGGUG